UACGUAGGAGACAAACGUUAUCCGGAGUUACUGGGCGUAAAGGGCGUGUAGGUGGUUCUGUAAGUCUGGCGUGAAAUUUCUCGGCUUAACCGAGGCAGGUCGUCGGAUACUGCAGGGCUAGAGGACGGUAGAGGCGUGUGGAAUUCCGGGUGUAGUGGUGAAAUGCGUAGAGAUCCGGAGGAACACCAGUGGCGAAGGCGACACGCUGGGCCGUACCUGACACUGAUGCGCGACAGCAUGGGGAGCAAACAGG
rnacentral:rRNA from 1 species